CCCUUAGAUGUUCUGGGCCGCACGCGCGCUACACUGAUGCGUUCAACGAGUUUAGAACCUUGACUGAUAGGUCUGGGUAAUCUUUUGAAUGCGCAUCGUGCUGGGGAUAGAUCAUUGCAAUUUUUGAUCUUGAACGAGGAAUUCCUAGUAAGCGCGAGUCAUCAGCUCGCGUUGAUUACGUCCCUGCCCUUUGUACACACCGCCCGUCGCUACUACCGAUUGAAUGGUUUAGUGAGGACUCCUGAUUGGCGCCGCCGCCCCGGCAACGGAGCAGCGGACUGCCGAAAAGUUGUUCAAACUUGAUCAUUUAGAGGAAGUAAAAGUCGUAACA
rnacentral:rRNA from 1 species